UCAGUCCUUCCUUGUUCCCUCUCAGCUCCAAGAAUAAGGAGCAACAGCAGGAAAUUUCACCUGCUCCUGGCAUUGAGUAUCUUUAUAAUUUGCCUCCUUACACAGUGAAGCUGAGUUUCAUGUAAUAUUUUUGAUCUUUCAACAGAUCCUUACAGCACAGGGCACUCUGCAACCAGCCCAGUGUGUGCUCCACCUCUUUACAGCUCUCCACCGUCUUGCACGUCUCCAACAGUUUCCCCUCCCGAAAGGCUUACACCUCUAUUGUCACCUCACAGUAACGUCUCAGUACAAACCUCAGCCGCCCCAGACAACCUACAGUCAGUCACGUGCGUCAUUGAAGUCCAAUUGCUUCCUUACACAGGAAGCAGCCAGUCAGAACACAACCAGUAGUCACAGACAGUACUUUACCACAGCCAUAUAACAGCACAGUGCAACCACUUAAGUCAGGCACUCAGAUAGGAAAGGCCCAGACAGCUGUGGAUCUCAUAUGGACAAACUGGAUUAGUGCAGAUGGGCAAAAGGGCCAGCAUUGCACGGCGGCUGAAGAAGUUCGGCAUGAGCCCCCAAAUCCUCAAGACCUGCUACAGGAGCACCAUUGAGAGCAUCCUGACUGGCUCUAUCACCGCCUGGUGCGGGAACUGCACCAACCUUGAUCACUGGGCAUUGCAGACAGUGGUACGGACAGCCCAGCGCAUCUGUGGGUGUGAACUUCCCUCCAUUGAGGACAUUUACAGCAGCAGGUGCAGAAAGAAGGCCUGGAAGAUCAUCAGGGACACCAGUCACCCCAACCAUAAACUGUUUCAAUUGCUUCCAUCUGGCAAACAGUACCGCAGCAUUAAAGCCAGGACCAACAGGCUACUGGACAGCUUCUUUCUACAAGCUAUUAGACUUAUAAAUUCACAUGUCUGUACAUUGCGACAGGGUCAUAACGCAAAGGUUUUUACUAUCUCACAUUGUGGGAUGGAUGUAAGAUUUUAAAUCAAUUCAAUUCAAUUCACUCAUGUGACCAAUUAAGGCACUAACCCGUAUGUCUUUGGAAGGUGGGAGGAAACUGGAGCACCUGGAGGGAACCCUGCCGUCACAAGGAGAAUGUACGAACUCCUCACAGCCAGUGGUGUGAUUGAGUUCGGGUCACUAGUGCUAACUGCUACACCACCAUACCACAUCACAUGUAUCUUGGUACGUGUGACAAUAAUAAACACCCAUAAAGCACUUCCACUUCAGAACCACAGCAAGUCUCAAAGUAUCGCAGGUCUCAGAAUGGCGACAGCACAUAAGAAGGCCGUUCGGCCCAUUAUUGCAUGCACAGAAAGAUGCCCCUUGGCCUAUUGCAUCAUGCCAGCUCCAUGUGAUUGUAACCCUGCUGCUCCUGCUCCACAUUCCCCCUCCUCUCGCCGUGCAAGUCUUUUCUUCCACCACUAUCCCCAGCAACUUCCUGAACCAACUAUUGAACAUACCUCCCCUCCCACUCCCUGUCAGUGCAUUCCCAACACCAGUUCCUUUAGCACACAGGAGAAAAUCUGCAGAUGCUGGAAAUCCAAGCAACACACACAAAAUGCUGGAGAAACUCAGCAGGCCAGGCAGCAUCUAUGGAGAGGAAGAAUCAGUCAACGUUUCCGGCCGAGACCCUCCAUCAGGACUGGAAAGGAAGGGGAGAAAGGUUGGGUGGAGUAGAAGCUGGCAGGUGAUAGGUGAAGCCAGGUGUGGCAGAAGAUGGAUGAGUGGAUGAGGAAUGAUGAAAUGAGAUAGGUGGAAAAGGCAGAGGAUUGAAGAAGGAAUCUUCAUUUAAAUUUGUAUCUUUUCCUGGACUGCUGGCAUCAAUGAACUGUACCUAUAUAUCCUAGAUCCUGUGCCCCAUUUGGAAUUGUGCCCUCUAGUUUAUACUGCCACUUCCUAUUUUCACACCAAAGCAUAACGACUCACGUUUCCGAACAUUAGUUUUCACCAGCACCCUGUCCCCUUAUUUGACCCAACUUUAUUUUCAUUUCUCUGUCCAUCACCUCUUCACAGUUCACAACACUGAGGCUGCUGCAUCAGCAAAUUUCACAAACUGUGCCCUUCACACGCAAUCUACAUGUUUAUGAAAACAGGAGCUUUACUCUACCCAUUCUCUGGUCUGAAAAAACAAGCAUUCACCAGAGGGUUUCCUUUCUUUCUAUUUUCAAUCUGUUUAUUGAUUUUUUAAAAAGUGUGUAUACAAACAGGAGGAGAAUAUCUCUGGGAUAUAUGUCAGUAAC